UGAUGGCAGAUGAAAUGGAUAAGAUGGAUUCCCUGAUAAUUCAAUGUGAUAUCAUAACCAGCAUCUCAUUC
rnacentral:sRNA from 1 species